AUUGAACGCUGGCGGCAUGCUUUACACAUGCAAGUCGAACGGUAACAGGGUGCUUGCACCGCUGACGAGUGGCGAACGGGUGAGUAAUGCGUCGGAACGUGCCGAGUAGUGGGGGAUAACGCAGCGAAAGUUGUGCUAAUACCGCAUACGUACUGAGGUAGAAAGUGGGGGACCUUCGGGCCUCACGCUAUUCGAGCGGCCGACGUCUGAUUAGCUAGUAGGUGAGGUAAAGGCUCACCUAGGCGACGAUCAGUAGCGGGUCUGAGAGGAUGAUCGCCCACACUGGGACUGAGACACGGCCCAGGAUCCUACGGGAGGCAGCGGUGGGGAAUUUUGGACAAUGGGCGAAGGGCUGAUCCAGCCAUGCCGCGUGUCUGAAGAAGGCCUUCGGGUUGUAAAGGACUUUUGUCGGGGAGGAAAUCCCCAGCGUUAAUACCGCUGGGGGAUGACAGUACCUGAAGGAUAAGCACCGGCUAACUACGUGCCAGCCGCCGCCGUAACAC
rnacentral:rRNA from 1 species